AUUUUUGUUCUUUUUUUGUUGUGCAUAUUAUUGGGUUUAAUGCAAUAUUUAUUGUAUAUACUUAUAGAUUCAAACAACAACAACAUAUCUAGUGCAAUCCCACACAAGGGGUAUGGGAGGGUAAUGUGUACGCAGACCUUACCCCUACCUUGGGAGGUAGAAAGACUUCUUCCAAUAGACCCUCGGCUAAAAAAGAACAGUUAAGAGAUUAUUUUAUCUUAUAGGUGUAAUUGAAGUAGGUAUUUGAUGAUUUUCCCCGGC
rnacentral:lncRNA from 1 species